UAAUGAUUCCCCCAGUAGUGGCGAGCGACCGGGGAAGAGCCCAAACCGUCGUUGUUUCGGCAUCGGCGGGGUAGUAGGACCGCGAUAUUGUAUGUGUUUUGUGAGUAGAAUGUUCUGGAAAGAACAACCAUAGGAGGUGAAAGUCCUGUAUACGAAGCGAAACAUGGCAUAGCGGUAUCCUGAGUAGCGCGGAGCACGAGGAAUUCUGCGUGAAUCAGCCGGGACCAUCCGGUAAGGCUAAAUACUCCUGUGAGACCGAUAGUGAACGAGUACUGUGAAGGAAAGGUGAAAAGCACUCCGAUGAGGAGAGUGAAAUAGUUCCUGAAACCAUACGCCUACAAGCGGUCGGAGCUCAGCAAUGAGUGACGGCGUGCCUUUUGCAUAAUGAACCUACGAGUUACCGUCUCUGGCAAGGUUUAGUAUCUCAGAUACGUAUCCGCAGUGAAAGCGAGCCUGAAAUGGGCGUAUAGUCAGAGGGGGUAGACGCGAAACCAAGUGAUCUACACUUGGCCAGGUUGAAGUUCCGGUAACACGGAAUGGAGGACCGAACGGAUAAGCGUUGAAAAGCUUCCCGAUGAGCCGAGUGUAGGAGUGAAAGGCCAAUCAAACUUGGAGAUAGCUCGUACUCCCCGAAAUGCAUUUAGGUGCAGCGUGUAUCGAUCCGCAUGAGAGGUAGAGCGACCGAUAGGUCAAGAGGGCUUCACCGCCUAUCGAGACCUGACGAACUCCGAAUGCUCAUGCGCCGCAGAUAUGCAGUAAGGGGGCGGGUGCUAAGGUCCGUCCCCGAGAGGAGAAGAAUCCAGACCGCCAACUAAGGCCCCGAAAUUCUGUCUGAGUUAGUCUAACGAAGUCUGGUCCCUAUGACAGCUAGGAUGUUGGCUUGGAAGCAGCCAUUCAUUCAAAGAGUGCGUAACAGCUCACUAGUCGAGGGUCCGGGCAUGGAUAAUAAUCGGGUAUAAGGCAGAUGCCGAAGUUGCGGGAUAGUAAUCAUAAAAGUAUCGGUAGGGGAGCAUUCCAUCGGCGCAGAAUGCAAAGGAUGACCUUUGCUGGAGCUUAUGGAAAAGCAAAUGUAGGUAUAAGUAACGAUAAAAGGGGUUAGAUUCCCCUUCGCCGCAAGACCAAGGUUUCCCGGGCAAUGCCAAUCAGCCCGGGGUUAGUCAGGUCCUAAGUCUCAGCCGAACGGCGAUGGCGAUGGCAGAAACGGUUAAUAUUCCGUUACUGCCGCAUGGAGUGAUGUGGAGACGGAGCAGUGACACUACCGCGGAGAUACGGAAUUCUCCGUUGAAGGGUGUAGGCGCAGAU
rnacentral:rRNA from 1 species